rnacentral:rRNA from 1 species
AUUGAACGCUGGCGGCAUGCCUUACACAUGCAAGUCGAACGGCAGCACGGGUGCUUGCACCUGGUGGCGAGUGGCGAACGGGUGAGUAAUACAUCGGAACGUACCCUAUCGUGGGGGAUAACGCAGCGAAAGCUGUGCUAAUACCGCAUACGCCCUGAGGGGGAAAGCGGGGGAGCGAAAGACCUCGCGCGAUUAGAGCGGCCGAUGCCUGAGUAGCCUGUUGGUGGGGUAAAAGCCCACCAGGGCGACGAUCAGUAGCUGGUCUGAGAGGACGAUCAGCCACACUGGGACUGAGACACGGCCCAGACUCCUACGGGAGGCAGCAGUGGGGAAUUUUGGACAAUGGGGGCAACCCUGAUCCAGCAAUGCCGCGUGAGUGAAGAAGGCCUUCGGGUUGUAAAGCUCUUUUGUCAGGGAAGAAACACCGGCUCUAACACAGUCCGGGAAUGACGGUACCUGAAGAAUAAGCACCGGCUAACUACGUGCCAGCCGCCGCCGUAA